rnacentral:rRNA from 1 species
UCGAGGAUCUUCGGCAAUGGGCGCAAGCCUGACCGAGCGACGCCGCGUGUGGGAUGAAGGCCUUCGGGUUGUAAACCACUGUCAGAGGGGAUGAAAUGCGUAGGGGUUCUCUCCUACGUUUGACAUAUCCUCAGAGGAAGUACGGGCUAAGUUCGUGCCAGCAGCCGCGGUAAGACGAACCGUACAAACGUUAUUCGGAAUCACUGGGCUUAAAGGGUGCGUAGGCGGCGGUGCAAGUUGGGUGUGAAAU